GCGGAUGUGGCGGAACCGGCAGACGCGAUAGACUUAGGAUCUAUUUCGAAAGAGUGGGAGUUCAAAUCUCUUCAUCCGCACCA
rnacentral:tRNA from 1 species